UCGGCUUCGUUUGGCCAAUUUUUAGAGCCAACGUUUACUCCAGGGAAUACUCUGUAUAUUGUUCUAUCUCGGUGUAGGUCCAACCAUCCAGUUUCUCGAAAACAGUUUUAGUCAAUGUUGGGCUGAAACCCCUUAAACUUACUAAGUAGCGUUCUUCCUUUGUUGAAAUCUCAUUUCAAUGACGAUGUAUUGUGUUGCGUGUUGGUUAAGGUGAAGCAAGGAAAAAACCAUUGACGGUGUAUUUUGCUGCAUGUUUCAGUCAAUUUGUUGGACAAAUUACAUGUAUGUGUUUUCUCGAGCCCACUGAUUUCAGUCUCUCCGUCUUCUUCCCCUCCCCACCAGCC
rnacentral:lncRNA from 1 species